AAGCCAUCUCCGGCGUAACGACGCAGCGUCUAGUAAUAUACAGGAAGUGACAUCAUCAGCAUCGCUACGCUGACGUAUUUACAUCACGUUGUACGCCUGUGGGGCCCAGCCUUUAGUGUUGAAUAAGCCAGUGACGUCACUGGUGAAUUCACAAACAGUUAACGAACAUGGUUUACAUCACUGAUGGAGAGUGUUGAAUUUGAAAACGCACUCUAUUCUAAGGAUAACAGCAAACUACACAAUAUCCCGGACACACUAGCGGCGAUAACGGACGUUAUUGUCUUAGCAGCAAUUAGGAUUUGUAGUGUGUCCGAUUUCCGUCCAGAUAACGGACAUUUCGCAACCGCGAAAUACCGUUUCGGUAACGUAGUUCCCACAACUCUGUUUGUGACGUCAAUCUCCGUCUCAAAGAGAAAAUUUAAGAUGGCAUCCACAGAGACGAC
rnacentral:lncRNA from 1 species